GCAAACUUGGUCAUUUAGAGGAAGUAAAAGUCGUAACAAGGUUUCCGUAGGUGAGUGUUAAGAACCCAACUCUUUUUUUCCAAGUCAACAUGUGCUAACCUGUAUUUUCUUAGGUGAACCUGCGGAAGGAUCAUUACCGAUUGUCGGGGCCUUCUGGUCCCAACUCCAACCCUAUGUUUACUACAAACCGUUUUGCUUCGGUGGGCCGGCGCCCCGCGCCGCCGGCCUCUGCGGCUGGAGAGUGCCCACCGAUGGCGUUUUAAACUCUUGUUUUUACACCCGUGGCGUCUGAGUGAUUGAGAAUAAAGCAAAACUUUCAACAACGGAUCUCUUGGUUCUGGCAUCGAUGAAGAACGCAGC
rnacentral:misc_RNA from 1 species